CGCUGAUGCUUGAUGUGCAGGAUGAGAACCUGCCGCAGGUUCGACUGAAUCGUCAGGAACGAUUCAGGCUGAUGCGACAGCAUCACCCGUAGGGCGAGGCCCCGGAUGGGCCGAGGCAUAUCCUGCACGACCCACCA
rnacentral:sRNA from 1 species